rnacentral:rRNA from 1 species
ACACCGGCAGCUCGAGUGGUAGCUGUUUUUAUUGGGCCUAAAGCGUCCGCAGCCGGGUUAAUAAGUCUCUGGUGAAAUCCUGUAGCUUAACUGUGGGAAUUGCUGGAGAUACUCUUAGACUUGAGACCGGGAGAGGGUAGAGGUACUCCCAGGGUAGAGGUGAAAUUCUGCAAGCAUGGGAGGACCGCCUGUUGCGAAGGCGUCUAACUGGAACGGUUCUGACGGUGAGGGACGAAAGUUAGGGGUGCGAACCGGAUUAGAUACCCGGGUAGUCCUAACUGUAAACGAUGCGGACUUGGUGUUGGGGUGGCUUUGAGCUGUUCCAGUGCCGAAGGGAAGCUGUUAAGUCCGCCGCCUGGGAAGUACGGUCGCAAGACUGAAACUCAAAUGAAUUGACGGGG